rnacentral:lncRNA from 1 species
UUGCAAGAAGCACAAGAUCGAUAUAUGGAGGCCGUGAAAUGUACUGAGAAGAUGCAGGAUCAAAUGCAAAAGCUUGAAAAGGAAAAUGCCGAGUUAAAAGGUACAAACAAAAUGCAAGCGGGCACAAUUGAAGAGCUUCAGAAAAACCUGCUGAGUCUAAGUUCGUGUCCUUCUGAGAGUCUUUCACAGAAGUACGUUGAUCAUUUUUCUGGAGCUUCAGGUCAAAGAGGUAAAAAUAGAGUAAAUGGAGAAGUAGAAGGUAAGAAUGUUAUUUUUUUAAAAAGUCAAUGUACAUAUGUGAUGAUAAAACAGGAAUUCUGA